rnacentral:snoRNA from 1 species
AGGUCAUUUAAAAAAGGGCAGUAGGGACUAAAACCAGGAGCUCUUAAAACAGUUGCCAGUGUUUAAAGUUUCCCCAAGGAAUCAAUGG